rnacentral:rRNA from 1 species
GACGAACGCUGGCGGCGUGCUUAACACAUGCAAGUCGAACGGAAAGGCCCCCUUUUGGGGUACACGAGUGGCGAACGGGUGAGAAACACGUGAGUAACCUAGCCUUGACUUUGGGAUAAGGUGAGGAUACUGGGGAUAAUACCGGAAAGGAGGUCCUGCUGCAUGGGGGGGGUUGGAAAGUUUCGGAGGUUGGGGAUGGACUAGAGGCUUAUCAGGUUGUUGGUGGGGUAGUGGCUGAACAGGGCGGUGACGGGCAGCCGGGCUGAGAGGGUGACAGGACACACUGGGCCUGAACUACGGCCCAGACUCCUACGGGAGGCAGCAGUGCGGAAUAUUGCACUAUGCGCGGAAGCCUGAUGCAGCACCGCCGCGUGCGGGAUGACGGCCUUCGGUUUGUAAUCCGCUUUCGCCUGUGACGAAGCGUGAGUGACGGUAAUGGGUAAAGAAGCACCGGCUAACUACGUG